ACCGUACUCCUACGGGAGGCAGCAGUGGGGAAUCUUGGACAAUGGGCGCAAGCCUGAUCCAGCCAUGCCGCGUGGAUGAUGAAGGCCCUAGGGUUGUAAAAUCCUUUCGUUGGGGACGAUAAUGACGGUACCCAAAGAAGAAGCUCCGGCUAACUUCGUGCCAGCAGCCGCGGUAAUACGAAGGGGGCUAGCGUUGUUCGGAUUUACUGGGCGUAAAGCGCGUGUAGGCGGACUUGUAAGUUGGGGGUGAAAUCCCGAGGCUCAACCUCGGAACUGCCUCCAAAACUACAAGUCUGGACUCAAGUAGAGGCAAGUGGAAUUGCGAGUGUAGAGGUGAAAUUCGUAGAUAUUCGCAGGAACACCAGUGGCGAAGGCGACUUGCUGGACUUGUAGUGACGCUGAGACGCGAAAGCGUGGGGAGCAAACAGGAUUAGAAACCCUGGUAGUCCUUGAC
rnacentral:rRNA from 1 species